CCAAAAAUAAACUACAGUGCAGAUGUUGAUUCUCAACCUUUGGUUUCCAUGUUCACAGGUGCUGUUUGCAUGGGGAAGUACUUUUGUUGGACUUGAAGCAGAAUCGCUGCAAUGGAUGUGGCAUUUGCAGAAUUGUGGGGCGAGAGAAUGCGGUAAGCUUCAGUUAUCCCGUGCUUAGGCCAGCAUAAAUAGCGAUGGAAAGGACUGAAGUUAAUCUCCUUCACUUAUUGUCAUGCUGUACGGGUUGCUGCUAUUCAAUCUUGCUGAAAAACAGCCAUUGCAUGGAAGGAGCGACGCGUCAUGACUCUCCUUUCUGCUUUGGGGUAAAGCUCUGAGAUUGAACGGUUAUCAUGCGUGCAUUGCAGAGUGUAUAAAUUGAAGGCGGCGGAAAUGGCGAUAUGCAGUUUCUAUUUGAUUCGAGAAAUGACGUGACAGUCUUGCCUUGCCAACAAAAAUUCGUGAGAGAACAUUCGCCGGUGAGAGUUUUUUGCUGAAAGAUGUUUGCUGUUCUACAAGUUUGGAUCCACUGCGGGAAAACAUCACCAGUUUUCCAUGCGGCUAGGACUAAAUUGUGAUUUUCAUGAAUGUCCUUACUCAAGGCUGUGAAGCCGGGUGUCCAUCAAUUUUUGUCGGGCCACAAAUUGUAAUGGGCUCACACUAAUAAUGGAUCUUACAUUAUGUGGUUCCUUGGUGACUUUGAUGGAAAAGUUGAGAUGUUUAGUU